rnacentral:rRNA from 1 species
UAGGGAAUCUUCCGCAAUGGGCGAAAGCCUGACGCAGCAACGCCGCGUGAGUGAUGAAGGUCUUCGGAUUGUAAAACUCUGUUGUUAGGGAAGAACAAAUGUGUAAGUAACUAUGCACGUCUUGACGGUACCUAAUCAGAAAGCCACGGCUAACUACGUGCCAGCAGCCGCGGUAAUACGUAGGGGGCAAGCGUUGUCCGGAAUUAUUGGGCGUAAAGCGCGCGUAGGCGGUGUUUUAAGUCUGAUGUGAAAGCCCAGGGCUCAACCGUGGAGGGUCAUUGGAAACUGGAAAACUUGAGUGCAGAAGAGGAAAGUGGAAUUCCAGGUGUAGCGGUGAAAUGCGCAGAGAUAUGGAGGAACACCAGUGGCGAAGGCGACGUUCUGGUCUGGAACUGACGCUGAUGUGCGAAAGCGUGGGGAGCAAACAGG